rnacentral:rRNA from 1 species
GACAGAGGGGGCAAGCGUUGCUCGGAAUCACUGGGCGUAAAGGGCGCGUAGGCGGGAUGGCAAGUCAGUCGUGAAAUCUCUCGGCUCAACCGAGAAACGUCGGCUGAUACUGCCGUUCUUGAGGGAUGCAGAGGAGACUGGAAUUCCCGGUGUAGCGGUGAAAUGUGUAGAGAUCGGGAGGAACACCGGUGGCGAAGGCGGGUCUCUGGGCAUCUCCUGACGCUGAGGCGCGAAAGCGUGGGGGAGCAAACGGA